rnacentral:rRNA from 1 species
CCUACGGGUGACAGCAGUGAGGAAUAUUGGUCAAUGGGCGAGAGCCUGAACCAGCCAAGUCGCGUGAAGGAUGACGGCCCUACGGGUUGUAAACUUCUUUUGUCAGGGAGCAAUUGGGUCCACGCAUGGGCUUAGCGAGAGUACCUGAAGAAAAAGCAUCGGCUAACUCCGUGCCAGCAGCCGCGGUAAUACGGAGGAUGCGAGCGUUAUCCGGAUUUAUUGGGUUUAAAGGGUGCGUAGGCGGAAUAUCAAGUCAGCGGUAAAAAUUCGGGGCUCAACCCCGUCGUGCCGUUGAAACUGAUGGUCUUGAGUGGGCGAGAAGUAUGCGGAAUGCGUGGUGUAGCGGUGAAAUGCAUAGAUAUCACGCAGAACUCCGAUUGCGAAGGCAGCAUACCGGCGCCCAACUGACGCUGAAGCACGAAAGCGUGGGUAUCGAACAGGAUUAGAUACCCCAGUAGUC